UGGGUAACCUGCCUCAAAGAGGGGAAUAGCCUCCCGAAAGGGAGAUUAAUACCGCAUAAUGUGUUAGGUCGCAUGACUUUAACAUCAAAGGAUUUUUCUUUUAAGAAAUUCCACUUUGAGAUGGACCCGCGGCGCAUUAGCUAGUUGGUGAGGUAACGGCUCACCAAGGCAACGAUGCGUAGCCGACCUGAGAGGGUNAUCGGCCACAUUGGAACUGAGACACGGUCCAGACUCCGUAGGGAGG
rnacentral:rRNA from 1 species